rnacentral:lncRNA from 1 species
GAACGUACGCUUCGCUCUCGCGACUCCACCCGCUCUUCCUCCUACCUAGCCCAUAUAUUCCCCCCUUCAUUUUCUCCCCAACCCCCCAACAACCACCCGCUAAUAAGUAACAACCCCAUCAGUAGUUGAGGUAGAUAAUGCCACUCUCUCCAAACCUGCAAUGCCUCUUCCUUGCUUUUGCUCCUCCAUGAUCGCAAUUCGAUCUUAUGCUAACAAUGGCUAUGACUCGGAGGAGUAGAGUUUUACUUUACUACGUUAAGUCACGUUGAGUACGUACGAUAUAAUUUUUGAGAAUGGGGACUAGUAAGAGCGAAGGGACGAAGCAGCGGGUGAACCGGUGCCUGAGCAAGAUGUCGGACCGGGACACGGAGGCGAUGGCGGCGUC